rnacentral:rRNA from 1 species
CUAGCGGCGGACGGGUGAGUAAUGCUUAGGAAUCUGCCUAUUAGUGGGGGACAACAUUCCGAAAGGAAUGCUAAUACCGCAUACGCCCUACGGGGGAAAGCAGGGGAUCUUCGGACCUUGCGCUAAUAGAUGAGCCUAAGUCAGAUUAGCUAGUUGGUGGGGUAAAGGCCUACCAAGGCGACGAUCUGUAGCGGGUCUGAAAGGAUGAUCCGCCACACUGGGACUGAAACACGGCCCAGACUCCUACGGGAGGCAGCAGUGGGGAAUAUUGGACAAUGGGCGAAAGCCUGAUCCAGCCAUGCCGCGUGUGUGAAGAAGGCCUUUUGGUUGUAAAGCACUUUAAGCGAGGAGGAGGCUACUUGGAUUAAUACUCUAGGAUAGUGGACGUUACUCGCAGAAUAAGCACCGGCUAACUCUGUGCCAGCAGCCGCGGUAAUACAGAGGGUGCGAGCGUUAAUCGGAUUUACUGGGCGUAAAGCGUGCGUAGGCGGCUUUUUAAGUCGGAUGUGAAAUCCCUGAGCUUAACUUAGGAAUUGCAUUCGAUACUGGGAAGCUAGAGUAUGGGAGAGGAUGGUAGAAUUCCAGGUGUAG